UUACGUUGUUUGUCUGGUGGGCUCUUGCACUGAAAUUUCAGAGAUGACCCAUUCUUAUUUUAGGGUUUGUAUCGGGUGAAACACGAACUAUGCGCCUCCUCUCUGGCUCUCCGUCUUCUAGCAACUCAAAUCACCACCUCUGUAACAUCAUCGGUAACUUCCUGCUGUGGCGCAUCAGGGGAUAGGUUCGCCAAUCGUCGUCUGACUGAUCUAGGAUUUGGUCCUCUCAGAUAUAUUUAUCAUAUUUCCAUAAGAUUAAAAGAGAUCUCCAAACGUGGGCAGCCAUGGCAAGUACCAAAGUUCAGUGGAUUAUGAUCCAGCUAAUUGUUUCUUCAAAGUGUAAGCUCCAAAACAAUGGAUCUGAAAAGGUUUUAAUUUAUCAAUGCGUUUUCUGAUUCUUUGGUUUUACCUUUUCUGUAUUUGUCACGCAUAAAACUCGGACCCAAAUUUGAUUAUGUGAACACAAAGAUCUGGGAACAGAAGAAAUAUUAAUAUCUGAGCCAGAGUAUAUAAUUGGGUAAUUGAUGUCUCUUGGUUUUUGUAAGUGUUCAAGAGUUCCUGGUGUUCUCUUUAUGCUUAUGGACUCUUAUGUUGAUCUAGAGUACAAAAAAUACAGAGAUCGAUCAUCAAUACUUGGAGAUGCAAUAUAUUAUCUCAACGAACUUUUACAAAGGAUCAAUGAUCUUCACAACGAACUUGAGUCAACUCCACUUGGAUCUUUGCCUCAAAACUUCAACAAGCUUCCAUCCAUUAACACCUACACCUGAUACUCGUUAUUGCCGUGCGAAGAAAGAGUUAUGUCCCUCAUCUUAGCCAAGGCCUAAAGGCCAACAAGCAAGAGUUUGAGGUUAGACUAAGAGAAGGAAGAACAGUGAAAAUUCGUGUGAUUUGUUGUCAUAGACCUGGUCAUUUGCCAGCAACUGUGAAAACCUGAAUAAUCUUGGAUUUGGAUGUUCAGCAAGCGGUGAUUAGCUUGUUCAAACUGGUUUGCCACGCUGAGGUUUCUAAUCAUUGAAAAAAAUUCCAAGCGCCAUUGAAGUCAAAUUGUCUUCUUGGAGGCUACGGUCCUCGCCAUAGAGAGCCUUCUUACAGCUUCUGUUAGAACUGAAUAUGAAAGUGAAGACAGUACGUAAAUGCUGUUCAAAACCCGUCGAGCAGAAGAUCCAGACCAUAAAAUCUAACAAGGCCGUAAAGCCAGACUAGCCUCCACCAUUUGUCAAGGAAUUUGUGUCUAGAAAGAGGAGAGAAGCCAGCAACAAAAGAAGAAGAAGAAUAAGAAUAAGAGAAGCUCCCUAAGUUAACCAAAGAAAAAGAAGAGUUGAUUAAGAAAGAAGAGGAGAAGAGAAAACAAAACACUAUGCAGAGAUGAAGUAGCAGCAUCAGUUGGAGGAGGAGAUAGCAAAAGCGAAAGAGGCAAAGGAGAGGAAGAAGAAGAGAGAAGAAAACUAAAAAGUAAGAAAAUGAGAAGUCACUUAUUAACAACGCUCAUAAUGAAGCUAAAGAAUAAGAGAAGGUAAAAUUUCCUUUUUCACAAUAAAUUGAAGUCUUUCUCGCAAGUAUGUUUAUGUUGGGACAAAGGAAGAUUGAAAGACUCCAAGCAUGUAAUUGAUCUGAUUAAAAAAUUAUAUUGUUCAACGGUGAAGGUACUGUGAAGAGGUCAUAUAUGGGACUAUAGGGAACAAACCAGUUCUUUUUCAUCUUAUUUUGUUUUAUUUUUUCCUGGUUUUUGAUUUGUGUUCUUUUUUCUUGAGUUCCUUUGAUAAUGCUUGAUAGUGUAUUACAUAGAUUUGAUAGUGAUAUAAACAAUGUAAUGGGGUUUAGUAUCCAUGAUCUUCUUUUGUUUUCUAUCAUUAUUUUGAACGUCGUACAUUUAUUUACUCCUUACAAUUUGGAUAAAGAUUACAACUGGGUUGUUUUGGACUGUCUCGGAGCCGGACCUGAGUAGGACAUUUUCCUAUACUCUUGUCUUUAAACUGAAAACUUUGUAACGAAAUUAAAAGUUAUUUUGUUUCAAACUGAACAUGAAGGAAACUGAGAAAACAAGGAAAACCUUUACUCCAGUAAUAUAUACGAAUGUCGGUUUAAAUUGUUUUGUUCCAUAAACAUAUAAACAUGUAUCAGGGUUUCAGAUGAAUAAAACUGAAAUGCAUGUAACCAUAAAAAUAACCUUGGUUAAGUAAAUAGAGAAGUUUCUUGAUGAGCUACCAAAUUUCAUUUGGAAACAUCUAGUAAAAUGCCACAGAUACAGCCUGCGCAGACAGAAAGUGAGAAUAACAACAACAACAAAGAAGACGCAAUUGUAAGACUUUAGUGUUUACCUGGAGCACCUUAUAGUGUCAACUAUGAUUCGCUGCAUUUUACAGGAUGGCUUCCAAUCGUCAUGUUCAUUUUUUUUUGGUAAAAAUGUAAAGAUAUUAUUACCAACUUUUAGUUUUUGACAGAAGCACAGUGAUGACAAGAAGAAGAAAAGAAAAAGAAAACAUAAAUACAUACCCGAUCAAGUAUCAACAGGAAAGACGAACACAACAAUCACAAACGCAGUCGGAAGGCUCAACCAAUUCCGCACCAUCCGCUUGCCGCAAAAAGAUGAACCAAGUUUAACCGAGAGUCGGAAUCCCAGUAAUUUUGGCUUCUCUGAUGAUCCGCUCUUAAAGAUAAUGGCCCACCUGAGAACAGUUUGCUGAGAGCUUCAAAGCACCUGCCCACAUGAACAAACAGCACCAGCAGCGGCCACACGUCACCCGUAAAACCAAACCAAGCAAUUAUUUGGCCCGGAUACGGCCUAUACAAGGUGCCGGUCCAAGCAAAACGUGUCGCAACCACCGUACUCCUAACCUGAGCCCAUCCCGCACACAACUGCCUCACACACCACCACAUAAAGAUUUAAGCAAACCUAUGUAGCGCUGGGAUGUGAGCGAAAAACAGACACUAGAUGUAGCGGUCAAAGACACAAGAACCACCACACACCCGUAGCCAACGAGAACCGAUGAACUGAAGUUGUUGCUGCUAGAGCCAUCACAUGCCUCGGCAAAGACAGGAAUAAGAACAAGGGCACAUCCCGACCAGAACCCCCUUACUCCGACAAGCACAAGAGAGCUGUCGACCAAGAGAGAACAAAUCGAGAACAAGAUUAGAAACCGCAAACAGGAGAACCGAAGGUGAGGAAGCCAAGCAUGCGGCCACUAAAGCGGCGUAGAAAAUCGCUUUUUAAACCGCAAGCAUAACCUACACGAGCCGACCACUGAGCUCGAGCACCACCCACCUGCGUGCUCAAACCCACAACUCGCCGCCGUGAUAAUAAGAUCCACCGACACACAGCAUGGCAAGAAGAGGACCCAAACUCGACGAAGCGAGAACUGAUAACCCCAAUCAAGGCCGAUGACUCCUUGGACCAGAAGCAGCGAACCACCGACAAUACAUAGAAGCCAGACGAGAUCUAAGGAGAAAAGAUCUCGACUUCCAACCCAAAACGCCGACUGCAGCUAACCACCACCCUCUCGUCCUCCUCGCCGAAGCCCCAACAGAAAGAGAAGAGACCACCGGAGAAAAUGCAACCCUGCUGUGGAGUACUCUCUGGAGCCAAAACCCUAGCCCACGACGUCGAGCGUAUCGGAGGGGAGAAAGGAGAUGAAGCGGCAGAAACUGGACGAAAGGGAAAUCUAAAGAGAGGCCCUCUGGACGCCGGUACGCGCCGCCACCGCUGUCCGGGCCGGAGGCAAGCUUGUUCAACAACGACGCGGCUCGAGAAAGAAGGGAAGAGAUAAGUAGGAGAGAGAAACCUAUGUACAAUUCCUGUCCUCGCCAUGUUCAUCUUCCCAUUAUGUUGACAAUGUGUUUUUUACUUAACAUGUUGACAAUGUUUUUUUUUGGCUAAACAUGUUGACAGUGUUAAAUACUUAAUAACAUAAAAAACAGUUCCAAUCGCCAUGUUCAUCUUCCCAUGCCUAAAGAAUUAUUUUUUCAAAAUCCACUUAAUAAAGAAAAAGAAAAAUCUAAAUAUGUAAAUUUUCCGACAUAAUCUAUUUAACAAGAAAGAAAAUUUUGAUAUAUAAAGUUAAUGAUAAGAGGGAACUUCAAAGCAGAGCGUAUCUGUUUCCUUUUUUGGUCAAAGCCUGAGCGUAUCUAAAGACUUUAACUUAAACACGAGCGUAUCUUAAAACAUUACUUUUGUACUUAUAUAGUAGUCACUGAGGUGGGUAUGUAAGAAAACAUAAAAAAAGAAAAAAAUAUAUCUAUCUAUUUAUAUAAAGUAGUGUUUCCUUCCUUUUUAGAGUGCCACGUCAUUAAGUAGAGGGAGUAAAUGUUGACACGUGUCCAUAGCUUUAAAAAAGAAAAAAACUCGCCGACUGUUUGCUACUUCUUUUACCGAUCUCCUAUUAGCUGCCUACGAAACCAGAAAGCCAAGCGUUUCGAUCUCUUCAUAUACCUUACAAUUCAGUUCUUCCUACCGCUUCAUCUUUAAUGUAUAAGUGGAAAAUUUCAGCCAAAGCCGAGAUCUGAUUCACGCUUUAUUCCUGCCACAUAUCCUAACGCACGUACGGCAACGAAAGGUACCAAGUAUUAGCUCAAAUCCAAGGAUACAUGUUCUUCAGUGUUCUUCAUGUUUGCAUCAUAGAGAUUGACUUCAGAUUUUUCCUUCUUGAUUUGAAUCUCAUGCUGACUGUGUUAUUA